CCUACGGGAGGCAGCAGUAGGGAAUAUUGGACAAUGGACGCAAGUCUGAUCCAGCCAUCCCGCGUGAAGGAUUAAGGCCCUCUGGGUUGUAAACUUCUUUUUCUUUGGGAAUAAAAAAGCGGUAUUCAUAUCGCCUUGAAGGUACCAGAGGAAUAAGCACCGGCUAACUCCGUGCCAGCAGCCGCGGUAAUACGGAGGGUGCAAGCGUUAUCCGGAUUCACUGGGUUUAAAGGGUGCGUAGGUGGUCUGUUAAGUCAGCGGUGAAAGCCUGGAGCUCAACUCCAGAAUUGCCAUUGAUACUGACGGACUUGAAUCAAGUUGAGGUGGAUGGAAUAUUACAUGUAGCGGUGAAAUGCUUAGAUAUGUAAUAGAACACCAAUUGCGAAGGCAGUUCACUAAGCUUGCAUUGACACUGAGGCACGAAAGCGUGGGGAUCAAACAGGAUUAGAUACCCUGGUAGUCCACGCCCUAAACGAUGCAAACUCGACAUUAGCGAUAUACAGUUAGUGUCCAAGCGAAAGCGUUAAGUUUGCCACCUGGAAGUACGACCGCAAGUGGAAACGUCAAAGAAGUUAGACGG
rnacentral:rRNA from 1 species